GAGAGAGAGAACGCGGUGGUGCGCGCGAGAGGGCCGGAUCGAUAGCACCGAAAAGCGAGAGGAAAGAGAGCUGGCGGCUGGAUCCUCUCUCGGCCAAGACGCUCCGGAGUGCCCUAGGACGACGCUGCGUGAGACCUGAUCCUGCGUGCGUGCCGGCGUGUUUGGCGGAAAAACGCGAUCAUCGCAACCCGCUCGCGAUGUACGCGCACACGUGCGUGCGUACGUGCGACGUGUCGACGAGCUGGCCGGGCCGGGCAGCGCGUUAGUUGGGCCAGUCGGUCGACGUUCGGUGUGCAAAAUCGUCGGAGCUACCCUUACGUGGCGGUGGUUGGUGUCCCCCUCGACGAGGGCCACGACGAAGGGAGUGCCGCCGGGGGAUGAGAGGUCGACGAGCCACCGCCGAAUGAUCCCGGAGACAACGUCCUCUCGAGCAUCCUCCGAGCCGACGGUCGACGCUGGCCGAGCAACGCGCGAUGCGGCCGAAAUCCGGCAGGGAGACACGGUCGGUCCGCUCGUCGCGGGUGUAGCACGACGGAUAGUCCGGCUUGUGUUCGGCGUUGCCCGGUGCUCUGCGACCGCUGCUCUCGACUCCUGGUCGAUGUGAUCGAAUUAUCGUCGGACGGCGCGACGCUCGGCGUUGUUCUCCGCUGUUCAUCCUCGAGGAGGACGCCGCCGUCGCAAGCGGAAUUUCGGAUGCGAACAACGGAGGCGACAAGGGCUGGGUCAUCGAAAGUACAUGCGUUAAGAGAGACGACGAAGGAUCGCCGACGGUGGGAUACCUGAUGUUCGCAAUUACGCUCGCCGAUUUCCCGUCGUCGAUCGACUCCCCGGAAUAUGCCGCGGCCUCGACGUGUCCUCGGGAGUGAGACGAGCGGCAACGUUUAUGCGGAAUCAUGCGCGGUAUUCCGAUAAAACGAAGCGUACGAUGUCGCGCGUGACCUCGUCGGGGACUGCUGAACGAUCGCUGCUAGACGAAAUCGCGGAGCAAUGAUCAGGAAUACGCGGCUGGUGGGGACCGCGGGUGACAGUCGGCCGAGUCACACGUGCGAUCGCCGACACGUGUUAUCCAGCAGUAGCGGCGCCGGCGGAUCAUUGCUUCGCAUCGUCGCCUUGAGCCUCUGUUGCGUCAUGGCGACCUGCGGCGACUUCAAGGACAGAACGCCACGCAGCAUCCAGGACCUGAAGAAUGCCAUGAAGAACAACAAUCUGGCGUCCCUGGGCGAGUGCGACCUGGAGCCUCACUGUGACUGGAGAUGGAACCAAACCCGAGGUUUUCAGGUGAUACCGGCGCCGGCACGCAGCAAAUUCGGCCCGAUCACGGACGCCAACAACAGCGAAAACGGCCACUUUCUGUGGUACAGCGGCAGCGGGACGGCUCAAAUGUGGUCCUCGAUAAUCCCUCCCACGAGUUUGCGUUGCACGCUCGAAUUGUGGAUGCACCAGGUGGCGAUGGAGGACGGGGCCAUCAGUCUCGUGAUAGACACUAACAAUGUAAGCUCGGUUACGGAGGAGAAAUACGGAAACAAUAACGCUAGGUGGGAGAACAUGCGUUUCUUUCUGGGUGCGAUCAGCCGGCCCUACAGGUUAUUUUUAGAGAUACUCCUGCCGUACGCGAACUCGAGCGUCGCCGUCGACAACGUCCACCUCGUCAAUUGCUUCCCAGACACACUGAGCAAAUGUCGCACGGACGACAUGUUCCGCUGCAAAAACGGAACCUGCCUGAGCAGCGUUCGCAUCUGCGAUUUCGUCAAGGACUGUCCCGACGGCGAGGACGAGACGUUCGAGUGUGACAAGAUUCCGGGGAAUGCGAGAUGCAACUUCGAGGACGGCUGGUGCGGGUGGGCGAACGUCCCCGGGAGACCUCUGAAUUGGACCCUGCGCAGCGGUUCCCCGCCGGAGAAGACCACGUCCCACGUCCCCAUUGCCGAUCACACUUACCGCAAUCAGACAGGGACGUACGCGUACGCGCAGAUGAACAAUCGUGUCGCCUACGGCAGCCGGGCGACCAUCGAAAGUCCUCUGUACAAUCCGACACCACCUUACAGCAGCGAUUCCAAAAACCCCUAUUAUCAAACGUGCCAGAUACGCUUUUUCUUCCACAAGUACGGCAUGCAUAGUUCGUCUUUCGCGCUCUACUUGGUCCAAAUAAGGCGACACGGCAAUCAAAGCAAUGUAUUAUGGUGGUCCUACGGGAAGGGUAACAAGAUGUGGGAGAACGCGGCCAUCUCUCUACCUGACAUAAGAUACAGGUACGUCUUGCAGUUCGAGGCGAGCAAGGGAUAUUCCAAGAACGAUAUGGCGAUUGACGAUAUUUCCCUGAGCCGGGAAUGCUUCGGCAUCGGAGUCCCAGCGGAUAUCGUGGGCAACUUCAACUAUUAUAACCCCAAUAUAGAGCUCGAGACGGUGCCGCCGCAGCAUUCGGAAUUCGCGAACGAGACAGUUAUCCGAAUCACCACCUGCGGGGCUACCGGCAGAAAGGGCCCGACCGCUGAGCAAUGCGCCGACGAGUACAACGGCACCGACGUGGAAUUGAUCGUGCCGUCGUCGUCGUUAUCGGAUCAGGAGGUCACGUCGAGCCACAAUCUGAACGGUAUGCAACGGUGGACCGCGCCUCGCGGCGAAUACUACACCCUGAUCGCGGUCGGGGCUCGCGGUGGGAUGGGCUCCGGCGGUAUGGGCAGCACCUUCGGCGCCCUCGUUCGCGGUGUGAUCGAGCUGCAGAAGGGUGACCAGCUGUACUUCAUGGUGGGUCAGGAGGGAACCGACGCGUGUGCCAAGAGUCUCGGCAUGAGGGAGACCUGUCGGUCGUCGGAUGAGUCUCACGGCUCGUCGGCGUCGUCCAGCACUUCGGCGAAAGUGCGAGAAGUGAAGAAGAUCGUGUUCAAGUACGGCGGCGGUGGCGGCGGUGGCGCGACUGCCGUCUUUAUAUUAAAGUCAAACGGCGAACUGGAACCUAUCAUGAUCGCGGGCGGCGGCGGUGGUUUGGGGUCGGGUCAGUUCAAAGACGACGGACUGCAACACGGACGCGGUCCCGUUCCCGAAGGGAGCUUCCUACCUUCCUCUUACGAGGUCGCCGAAGGCACAGGCGGACCCGGGGCGAGCUGGAACGGCCAGUGGAGCAACAAUUCUGAUCGUCAAAACGCCGCGGGGAUGUCGCUGGUUCGCAGCGGCUUAGGAGGGAUCGGUUGCGAACCGGGGGAACAAGGUCACAGUAACGGGGGCUUCGGCGGUGGCGGCGGCGGUUGCCAGACCGGAGGCGGCGGCGGUGGUUACAUCGGCGGUAACAGCGGUCGCAAGCCAUCCGGCAAUGGCGAGGGUGGUUACUCGUACAUCAGCCAGAAGCUGACGGACACCUACUUCAAGGCAGCGACUCACUAUGGCCCGGGCGAGGUCUUCAUCAUAUCCGCGAUCAGCGGCUGCAACUGCGACUAUCGCUGCGUCGUUCUCGACCAAUAUCUCAGCGAGACCAAGUGUCUCUGUCCUCAGGGCUGGUUACUCAGUAAUAAUUCCAAGUCUUGCAUCAUGACCAACGAGUCGAAGAGCGUACACUCGACUUACAUGAUCCCGCUUAUAGUCGUGAGCAGCCUGCUCGUCAUCGUCGGAAUCGGCCUAAUACUUUAUUUUUCGAUAAAUAAACGGUUCCAAUGUAAAAAAGCACUUCUGCAUCGCCGUCAAAUGAUACUCGGCAACGGCACGGAGUUAACGGCGCUGCACGCGAUGUCGGGCACCUUGAUAACCGAAUUCAACCCCAACUACGAGUUCGCCGGCAAUCUCUACAGCUUCAAGGAUCUGCCGCAGAUACCCCGCGAAUGUAUUUCCUUAACGAGGCCGCUCGGUCAAGGUGCUUUCGGCGAAGUUCACGAAGGCCAAUACAAAUAUAGACGCGGUCAACACCCGGUCGCGGUGAAAACACUGCUGACGUUAUCAACGCCGCAGGCGGAAGCGGAUUUCAUGAUGGAGGCGUUGAUAAUGAGCAAAUUUAAUCACACUAAUAUAGUACACUUCAUCGGGGUUUGCUUCGACAAACAUCCCAAGUACAUCGUUCUCGAGUUACUGGCCGGCGGUGACCUUAAAAAUUUCCUGCGCGAGGAAAGGCCUCGACGGGAUCGGUCUACGACGCUGACGAUGCGCGACCUCGUUAUGUGCAGCUUCGAUGUCGCGAACGGUUGUAAAUACAUGGAGGAGACGCGCUUUAUACACCGCGACAUUGCCGCCAGAAAUUGCUUGUUGACAACCAAAGGUCCGGGGCGCAUCGUGAAAAUCGCGGACUUCGGCAUGGCGAGGGACAUCUAUCGGGGCGAUUAUUACAGGAAAGGAGCCGGGACGGUGCUGCCCAUAAAGUGGAUGUCACCUGAGAGCCUCUUUGACGGCAUAUACACCACGAAGAGCGAUGUCUGGUCCUUCGGCGUUCUUCUAUGGGAAAUUAUGUCGUUCGGAUACACACCGUACAUAGGAUUGGGGAAUCAAGAUGUGAUUAAGAUGGUGAAGACCGGCGGUCGACUGGGGAAACCCGUUGGAUGUCCGGAUCCGAUUUACGGGAUUAUGAUGAAAUGCUGGCGCGCACGGCCCGAACGAAGACCGAAUUUCAGCAAUAUCGUCGAGAGGAUCGGUUACUGCUUGCAGGACCCCGACGUGGUGUGCGGACCCACGCCUAAAUACGACGUACUUCCUACCGAAGAAGGAGAAAUAACCAUGUGGCCGGACCCAGAGGCGGAGUGCAUCAACGUGCAGUCUGACUUGGACGUAUGCGGCUACGUACGACCGAGGGUCAUCGAUCCGCGAUCCGUGGCGCACCACGUAAACCAAGCCGUAGCUGGUGGUACCGUUUACGACGCGGAGACUGAGAAAUCGAACAGAAGCGGCGAGUCGCACUGCAGGGCCUUCGCGAGAUCGACGGAGUGCCGGCAAGGGAAGUUCGGUUGCAACGCAUGCGAUCCCACGGACACCUUCGAGCGAAUCUACAGCGGUGACGAUCACGACGACGGCGACGACGAGUACCGGAAAUUACCGGAGAUUACCAAGACUGCCGGGGAGCGCAAGGGGAAACACCAAGGUGACCGGCCGAAUCGGCCGGACCCGAGGACAAUACAUCGAAGCGAGAACAUCGAAGAGCGCGACAACCGGAUCAAUGAAGAGAACGGCAACAACCGUCCAGAGGAAGAGGAGGAGUGUCACCUGACUGCCAACACCGACAGCGCGAUGACGGAUCGCAGGAACGGCAAUGAGAGUACAACGACUACUGACACCAAUUCCGAUUCCCUGAUCGUGCAGUCCUCCGACACGCCGCCCAACACGACAACGAACUCGUCGCCCAACACGCGCACUUGUUCGCCGAGUCGCGUCAUCGGCCUCAACUACGCAAACGUCAACAACGCGAACGGCAUGGCGAAGAAGAGCACGUUGAAGGCGACCCUGAGUCUGGACCCGAGCGCUCUUUACAGAGGCGCUAUCCCCUACGAGAAGAUCACCAGGCAUACGCAACGCUCGAGCACGCCGGGCAGUAUGGAGCUAAGGAAGGUAACUUGACCUCCUCCCUACCGGCGUCCUGCAAAGUUUCCAUCCGUAGAUGACCGAGCUCGUUGAUCGAAGGACUCCCUGAGUCACGAGUUACCGCGGGAGGAGGAAUGCUCCUGCUGAGAUUUAUCCGAGGGGGGUUGACGAGGCUCCCCGAAGACCGCAGUCGCGGCCGGGCUCAGCUGCACCGCCGCUCGCCGAUUGCAGCUGCAACGAUCGGCCACGACGACUGCGGUUACGACGGACACGCAACUCGUGGAACUCUCCUCGCCGCCGUGGGCCUACGACAACGAAUACUCGCGUCGUUUCUACUCUGAAGAGACCCUGCUAUGAAGACCGGAACGAACCCGCCCCAUUUCGUAACGAGCUGCUACUCGCGAUUCGGCUGCGAAUAGUAACCGAAUCGUCCUGCGUGACGCGAACCGGGACUGUUUUUCUGCCUCUGUAUGUGUGUGUGUGUGUGUGAAAGAGUGACUUUUUUUUUCGCGCGAGUUUCCAACCGGACGAGAGUUCGUUGUUGAGCUGUAAUGUAAAAGUAAGGCCGAUCAUGUAUAUACGGAGGAGGAGGCAAGAGAUACUACGAAAAAUACGUAACACUUGUAUUCAAACGCGUUACAUCGAGAUGAUUUCCCCAUCGAGCUUAUUUCGUAAGCUUCCUAAUUUCGCGACCGACGGUCGGGAGUUGCGCUGCGCGAUGCCGGCGGAUGAUCGCGGCGAACUUCCUAUUAACAUCUACUCAGGACGCGUGACUCUUACGGGCGAAACGAUCGUGCCGGGACUUGUACGAAAUAUACGUGGCUGGUUCUAAUUGAAUUGGAAGUGCGAGCGUUCGUGCGUAAUGUACAUAUGUAUUCGUACGUGUAAAACUCUAAAGCGCGCGUGAGUAGUUUUGUCUUCGAAACUAAAGUGUCACCGGUCGGGGGAAAAUUGUGUCGUCUAACCAAUCGGAGAAAUCGUUGAUGGGUAAUCGUUGAUGGGUAAUUGUAUCCGGUUCCGACCUCUCGGAUCCGACAAAUGUGUCAUGGCUGUCGAGUAAAAAUAUUAUACCGUAAAUACUUGAUGUAAAAGUCUCCGUAGGCUGACUCUCGUCUACCUCGUGACUCGUCUCUAGCCGGAGAACCAACGACGAUGAACUCGAGCCUCUCUCGUUGUCACCAUCGCCAUGUUGCAGAGCGAACGAAGGAGUGAGCGAGCGAACGGGCGAGCGAGAGAGUAUUUUGUAGGGAGGGGGUGGGUGGGCGGCUGGAUAGGUU